UACGGGGGGGGGCAAGCGUUUGUUCGGAAUUACUGGGCGUAAAGGGCGCGUAGGCGGCCUGCUAAGUCGGACGUGAAAUCCCUCGGCUCAACCGAGGAACUGCGUCCGAUACUGGUGGGCUUGAAUCCGGGAGAGGGAUGUGGAAUUCCAGGUGUAGCGGUGAAAUGCGUAGAUAUCUGGAGGAACACCGGUGGCGAAGGCGGCAUCCUGGGACCGGUAUUGACGCUGAGGCGCGAAAGCUAGGGGAGCAAACGGG
rnacentral:rRNA from 1 species